GACGAACGCUGGCGGCGUGCUUAACACAUGCAAGUCGAACGGAAAGACCCUGCUUUUGUGGGGUGCUCGAGUGGCGAACGGGUGAGUAACACGUGAGUAACCUGCCCUUGACUUUGGGAUAACUUCAGGAAACUGGGGCUAAUACCGGAUAGGAGCUCCUGCUGCAUGGUGGGGGUUGGAAAGUUUCGGCGGUUGGGGAUGGACUCGCGGCUUAUCAGCUUGUUGGUGGGGUAGUGGCUUACCAAGGCUUUGACGGGUAGCCGGCCUGAGAGGGUGACCGGCCACAUUGGGACUGAGAUACGGCCCAGACUACUACGGGAGGCAGCAGUGGGGAAUAUUGCACAAUGGGCGGAAGCCUGAUGCAGCAACGCCGCGUGCGGGAUGACGGCCUUCGGGUUGUAAACCGCUUUCGCCUGUGACGAAGCGUGAGUGACGGUAAUGGGUAAAGAAGCACCGGCUAACUACGUG
rnacentral:rRNA from 1 species